GGGUAGGUGGUGUAAAGGUAGCAUAAGUGUCUGUGGUACAAAAGGUCCGUGUUCGAUUCACGGCUUACCCA